UCCUAAGGAGUAUCAUUUUACGAUUUCGCAAUCGAGUUAUCUACUUCGCAACGCACCCCCAUUGACGUCGAUAAACUUUCUCCACCAUCACCAUCACCAUCACCAUCACCGCCUUCGACCGCCCGGUCCAUCUUCUCCGGCGAUCUGUCCCGGCCGGUUCAUCCGAUCGGUGCAAGCGUGAAUUGCUCUCAAGGAUUCGAAUUUUAGGGUUUGAUUUGAUUGAAUUACACGAAAUUAGCACUUGAGUUGAGUUUAAAGAUCGAUUCGAAUUGACAAAUUAUAGAGGGAAUCAUACGAAGCUAGAGUUGAUGCACGGAGUCUAGAUACAGAUUAGAGCAGCUCUUCCAAAGUUGUGUCAUCGACAUUCUCGGCCCUCGGGUGAAGUGGACAAGCGUAUUAGAAAUUUGUAUAUCCCAGUGUUCUGGCCUAUUGUCAAGUGACGUAAAUGUCAGCAAAUUGCGUGGGGGACGGGGAUUGGGAACUUUCCGCCAAUGAAGACUCUUUCUCUAAUAGAUGUUUCCGCCAUUGAUGAUGGCUUUUGGUUGUUGCAGGAAACUUCCCAGUAAUGAUUUACUCGACGAACUUUAUAACAUGAACCGUUCAAAUUAUCGAAAGAGGCUCAAGAUGACACUCCACAAAGGAGGACAACAGCCAUCUGCGCCAAAAGGCACAAUAGUAUCCUCAAAUCCCGAAAAUACAGGUGUAAGUUACACAUUUUACCAUAUGGAUAGUGUUUGAGACCCUCUCCAAAAGAGGACUCCCACAACCUCCAACCAUCCAUGUGUUUGAAUUUUUUUUUUGCAUCUUUGAUAGUGACGUGAAUGUUUCAAAUUAUUUUGGAGACUGUGAGAGUUGUGUUUUAUAAGAAUCUCUAUCAUUACUAUUUACUGUACCUCUCGUGUAGAUGGAGCACCUGCCAGUGCCAACCCAUCCCAAAAAAGAUGAAACAGUUGAUUUUCCGUGAAAUGCAUGCAUUCUUGGAUUACAGCAAUA